GAUGAACGCUGGCGGCGUGCCUAAUACAUGCAAGUCGAACGCACAGCGAAAGGUGCUUGCACCUUUCAAGUGAGUGGCGAACGGGUGAGUAACACGUGGACAACCUGCCUCAAGGCUGGGGAUAACAUUUGGAAACAGAUGCUAAUACCGAAUAAAACUUAGUGUCGCAUGACACAAAGUUAAAAGGCGCUUUGGCGUCACCUAGAGAUGGAUCCGCGGUGCAUUAGUUAGUUGGUGGGGUAAAGGCCUACCAAGACAAUGAUGCAUAGCCGAGUUGAGCAACUGAUCGGCCACAUUGGGACUGAGACACGGCCCAAACUCCUACGGGAGGCUGCAGUAGGGAAUCUUCCACAAGGGGCGAAAGCCUCAUGGAGCAACGCCGCGUGUGUGAUGAAGGCUUUCGGGUCGUAAAGCACUGUUGUAUGGGAAGAACAGCUAGAAUAGGGAAUGAUUUUAGUUUGACGGUACCAUACCAGAAGGGGACGGCUAAAUACGUGCCAGCCGCCGCGGUAA
rnacentral:rRNA from 1 species